GCGGGGCUGUCCCGGCUGGGGCCGCGCCGGCAGAGGCUGAGGGGAGCGGGUCCCUGGCUGGGGCCCCGCCGUGCCGCGGGUUUGCAACAAUGGUAAGGGAAGAUGUACAUGACAGUGAAGAUUCUGAACUAUCAGUAUGUGAGAGAAAUGGCAUGAUUCCCAUGCAUGAGCAAAGUGAGCAGGAACCAACAGCAGGUGCCAAAGGUACUGAUGGGAAUGCACAAACAGAAGAAACUGCACUCUUAGACCCCUGCACUCAGCAACCUCCAGAGCCAACAGCAGAGUCUUCAAUACCUGCAAGAACAUGGAGGCAAAUAUUUGUUUGUCCUCCUCAGGGUUUACUGGCCCAAACAGUGACAAAUGUUGCAUUUGUGGUUCUGGUUUGGGCUGUGGUUUGGUCCAUUACUGGGGCUGAGUGUCUCCCAGGUGGAAAUCUCUUCGGAAUUCUGUUUCUUUACUUCUUUGCUGUCAUCGGAGGUAAAACUUUUGGAUUCAUUAAGAUAGGAACACUACCCCCUCUCCCUGCUCUUCUGGGCAUGCUACUUGCUGGUUUCCUAAUCCGAAAUACCCCGUUCAUCAGUGACUUUGUCCAGAUAAACCUACGCUGGUCUGCAGCACUGAGAAACAUCGCUCUUUCCAUUAUCUUGACCCGAGCAGGACUCGGCCUGGAUCCAAAGGCUCUUAAGAAGCUCAAAGCUGUCUGUUUACGGCUUGCUUUCGGACCGUGCCUCUCAGAAACAGGCACAGCUGCUGUCCUUGCCUACUUGUUCCUGCAUUUGCCAUGGCAAUGGGGAUUUAUAUUAGGUUUUGUUCUAGGUGCAGUCUCCCCUGCUGUGGUGGUUCCCUCCAUGCUGAUUUUACAAGCUGGGGGAUAUGGGGUGGAGAAAGGUGUCCCAACUUUGCUAAUGGCAGCUGGCAGCAUCGAUGACAUUCUGGCUAUCACAGGCUUCAACACUUGCCUUGGCAUGGCUUUCUCUUCUGGUUCUACUCUGUACAAUGUGCUCCGUGGAGUGCUGGAGGUCACUGUUGGAAUAGCAGCUGGGGGAAUUCUGGGAAUGUUUAUUCGAUAUUUCCCAAGCCAUGAUCAGGCAUCUUUGGCAUGGAAGAGAUCGUAUUUUAUACUUGGAUUGUCCAUGUUUGCUGUUUUUGGCAGCAUCUACUUCGGCUUCCCUGGAUCAGGAGGGCUUUGCACAUUAGUCUUAGCUUUUGUUGCAGGUGUGGGAUGGUCUGAUGAAAAGAGAGAAAUAGAAAAAAUUGUGGCAGUUGCAUGGAAUAUCUUUCAGCCUUUUCUUUUUGGUUUAAUUGGAGCAGAAGUAUCCAUUACAUCUCUUAGGCCUGAAACUGUUGGGCUCUGUGUUGCUAUAUUAGGCAUCGCCCUAGUUGUGCGAAUCAUAGCAACGUUCCUGAUGGUGUCCUUUGCUGGGUUUAAUUUCAAGGAGAAGGUAUUUGUCUCACUGGCAUGGAUUCCCAAAGCCACUGUCCAGGCUGCAAUAGGUUCUCUUGCCCUGGAUACAGCAAGACAACAUCAAGAUGAGCAAAAGGAAAAGUAUGGAAUGGAUGUGCUGACAGUAGCUUUCUUGGCUAUCUUGAUCACUGCUCCAAUUGGAGCCCUGGUUAUCGGCUUGGCAGGGCCCAGACUUCUGCAGAAGGCUCAGACAAAGAGCAAGGAGGAUGAGGAAGGUGCAGAGGUUGGAGAAGAGGCAGAGGCCUGUGAACCUUCGUAAGACAGACAACUGCAGCAGUCUGGUCCUUCAACCCUGACACUUCUGCUGUGUAAAGGUGGCAUGUCUGAUCUUGCUGGAGGAACCUAAAACUAUCAGUCACCCCUGCUAUUUUUAAAGCAGCCCUGGUGGAGUUCUAUGAAAUAUUUUUAUGUGAAGAUGGUGCCUUGAGAUGAAAUAGCUGAACAUACAGUGAAUAAGAUGACCUGGCAGUGAGUCACUGAGAAGUCAGCAGUCAAGACUUACUUGAAAUGUGUGGGUGGUGAGGCCAAGGAGAGGGUCAGAAUUGUUGAGGUGUGGAGUGGAGUCAUGAGGUAGAAUAUAAGCCAAAAAAAAUGGAGACUAAUGUGAAUAACUUCUUGAUGGUUGAAACUGGGCUGUGAGAUGACAAGUUAUACAACUCAAAGAAAGCAACUUCAAAGUUUGGUGGUGAUUUCAGAAGAAACCAAUCUGUUUGAAUACAGAAGUAUCCUGAUAAAAGCUGGAAGCACAUACAGCCUGUGUCUAAUAAGUCUGCUACAGUAGACUGUGGUUUUUAAACCCUGAAAAAAUUGUCAGAGACAGGGCUUUACAUUUCACAGUAAUUUCUUCACCAAACCCAAGAAUUGGGGAUUGAUAUUCUAUAUACAUCUAUAAGUGAAAACAGUAUAAGACACUUACCUUUAUAUAUUUUUCCCUGUUAUAAAUGUUUAUAUCCUAAUACAUUUAUGGUUUGCUCAUCCAUUAAGGCAAGACCACCGUGAAGCAUUUAAACAAUAAACAUUAUACCAUGUUUCUGUUCCACACUUUAUAAAAGCAGGAAUUUAACACACAGUCACAUCCUGAUCUGCCAUCUUUUGCUGCAAAGCAAGAGGUUUUGGAACCUAGAACUACAACUGUCACAAGUGGAGGAGGAAUGAUCUACCUUAACUCUGCCGCUGCUGCAAGAGCCCUUAUGGACCUCUGCUCAGGGAUCUGCAAUCAGUUUCUACAACACGGAGAAAGGCAGACACCUAAGACCAGGAGGUGAAGUCACAGAAAAUUAUUUUUACCAAGAUAAGGAACUUCUCUCAAGUACAGUUAAAAAAUAAAAGUAUCCACUGCAGAUCUGGCUGCCCUGCUGCUACAUCAUUAUAAAUCUUCUAGGCAUACUGGUGAGAGAAGGCUUACUGGACUUUUUAAGAAAUGCAGCAAUAAUUGGCAUUUAUGUAAAUAAGGUGGAUCUACUUUUCCAGCAGAACGUGCUGUGAAGAACAUGCACCCCAGUGCAAUUUAAAUACCACGGUGCACUAAAGGUUGAGGGCAUUUUUCUAAAUUUCUGGAGAAUAAUUAAGCACUCAUACAGAAGGGAGUUUAAAAAUAUUUUAAAAGAGAAAGAAAAAAGUAUAACAAGCUGGACCACAAGCAGUUGCACAAGCACUUUUUAAGACAAGACACUAAUUUAUUGAAGAUUAGAAUAUAGCAAGAUUCUGCUCUAAAAAUUGUUUUUUGAAAAUAAGAAGUACAAGAAAGAAAACACAACAGAGCAGGCUAAGUCUGCCAGGUGGGUUGUAGCCCUGAAAAAGUACAAUAUUCUGUAUAGCUUGAUUUAAUUUGUACUAAUAAAACACAAGUUUGCUAAUACUUCUCCAGUUAGAAUCCAAUGGAUUUUUCUUAAGCAUUUGAAUUUUCUGGAACCAGACUAUGUAAUGAAAAUAAUUUGUGGGAUUAAUAUUUUGUUCUUUGUUGCCUUUGAUGUGACAGCCACAUUUAGUGCAUUUAUCUGGCAAUGCAUCACAGCUGCAUAAAUGCUGCAGGCACUGCAAGAAGUCUCAGCAGUCAUUCCCCAACUGCACCUGCAUCAGUCCCUGCAAAGCACAACUCACCACAUUCACCAGGACUCACUGCAAUGCAUUAAUCUCUGGUGCUCUUUACUUAGUUCCUCCAGUGAGCUGCAAGCCCUAAAUAAUAAUUAACACUGAGAUACUUAAAUGUUUUCAGCAGCACAGAAUCCUGAGUUCCUGGACAGCAGUGCCUGUUUGCCUUCUCUAUCAUUACUUUUCCAGAGCACUCCAUCAAUUCCAUCAGGAAUCCAAACACACUUUCUUACCUUACCUGAAGGACUGACUUGGAAUGUAUUUCAAAAGAGAGGUAAAAUAUUUGGUCACUGAAAAAAAUUUCCAAACUUUGUAUUUAACCUGACUGUUGACAAAAAUGUGGAUCUCUACAAAGCUACUCCUCUGAACUCCAAGACAGAACAGUCAUUCCAAGAGGCACACCAGGACCAGAGCAUCUGUCAAGUGUGUGGUGAAUAUAACUGGGCUAAGAUUGACACACAAGAAGGACAGGUCUCACACUCUGAUACAGCAUCAAAAUGAGAACAGGGAUGUCUCUGAAUGGCUCACAGCCAGCUGGGCUCAUAUAAGUGAAAGAGGAACGUGACAGCUGUAACCUCUGAGAAAGGAAAUUAGAAAUAAAUAUGAAUAGGAUGUACAAGGCUGUUGUUUAGGAUGGUUAUUAUUUAAUAUUUGUACCAAGAUAACUGCUGAUAAAUAGUUUUGUCCUCACUAGCCAGUAAAUUCUGUGCUUCCUUCUAAUGUGGGAGUCUCUGGAAAGCCCCCAGUUACAUUCAUGUGUACACUAACCAUAAACUGGCUUGUUAUUGCCAAAAGACUGCCUGAAGCUCCUGUGUUUAAACUGAAAAAUCAAUGUGAUCGUGUUCUAAGGCAUGGAUACAAGACACUGUCAGAGAUUUUUAGGCUGGGUGAGCAGGGAUGGUAAAAACCCUUCAUCCACACUAAUGCAAUGCCCUCCUACAAGUGUAGACUGCUCUGGUUUUGAAGCC